rnacentral:rRNA from 1 species
UACGUAGGGGGCUAGCGUUGUUCGGAAUCACUGGGCGUAAAGCGCACGUAGGCGGAUGUGCCAGUCAGGGGUGAAAUCCCGGAGCUCAACCUCGGAACUGCCUCUGAUACAGCACGUCUUGAGUCCGGAAGAGGUGGGUGGAAUUCCUAGUGUAGAGGUGAAAUUCGUAGAUAUUAGGAAGAACACCGGUGGCGAAGGCGGCCCACUGGUCCGGUACUGACGCUGAGGUGCGAAAGCGUGGGGAGCAAACAGG